rnacentral:ncRNA from 1 species
CAUACUGUCAGGUUCAACUCUUGUUGCGGAUUUGCCUACAACAAUCAACGUCUACACCCUUUAACCACCUAUUCCGUCAGAUGGCCGAGCUGUCACUUCUCCGUCUCCACAUCACUCCACAAAGCAGUACCGGAAUAUUAACCGGUUCUUCCAUCGGCAUCGCCCUUCGGCUUAGCCUUAGGUCCCGACUAACCCUGAUCCGAUUAGCGUUGAUCAGGAACCCUUGGUCUUUCGGCGAGGAGGUUUUUCACCCCCUUUAUCGUUACUUAUACCUGCAUUUGCUUUUCCAUCCGCUCCAACAAGAGUCACCUCUCAUCUUCACCGCCUAUCAAGUCCGGCCAAACUCCGAAUGCUCAUCAGCAACAUCCCGGGAGUGAGGGCAUGGGUGCUAAGGUCCAUGUCCGAGAGGAGAAGAAUCCAGAUCACCGGCUAAGGUCCCCAAAUAGCAGCUAAGUUGCAUUAACGAAGUCCGACCGCAGCGACAGCCAGGAUGUUGGCUUGGAAGCAGCCAUUCAUUUAAAGAGUGCGUAACAGCUCACUGGUCGAGGGGUCGGGCAUGGAUAAUAAUCGGGCAUAAGCUGUUUACCGAAGCCGUGAGAUCGAAAAGAUCGGUAGGGGAGCAUUCCAUUAUCAGCGUUGAAGAUGAGAGGUGACUCUUGUUGGAGCGGAUGGAAAAGCAAAUGCAGGUAUAAGUAACGAUAAAGGGGGUGAAAAACCUCC